UAAAAUAGUUGCCUUCUUUUUCAUAACACU
rnacentral:piRNA from 1 species